UGUCUAAUCACAGGUUAAUCCCAAAAGGAUUCUGGAGUCAACCGUGUCCUUAAUGUCAUUCAGGUACUUUUAAUUUUCUAUUGUUUCCCUCUGUUUUGGUUGAGUAUUUGGUGUGUUUGUUCUCAUAUCUUGCAGGUAAUACAAAAGGCUGGUUCUUCACCUGAAAAAGUUGUUUUUUCUGUAAUUAACAUCUCUUUAUUUUAAAGUCUCUUAGGUUUGCUAAGUCGGAUCUCCUCUGAGGCACAAGGCUGCACGUGUUGUGUAUUCAGGUAGUCCUCCUCUUUCCCAUUUGUAUCUUUCUCUUGCCUUCUUAAAUUUAAAUUGACGAUGGUGCUGCUAAGGUUUUUUUUUUUUUUCUUCUUUUUUUUGGUCUAAUCACAGGCUAAUCCCAAAAGGAUUUUGGAGUCAAACGUGUCCAUAAUGUUAUUGAGGUAGUUUUAAUAUUCUAUUUUUUCCCUCUGUUUUGGUUGAGUAAUUGGUGUGUUUGUUCUCAUAUCUUGCAGAUAAUACAAAAGGCUGGUUCUUCAUGCGAAAGUUAUUCAGGUAUUCCAUCUUUUUGUCCCUCCAACUUAUGGCCGGUGCAAGUCUCUUAGGUCUGCUCAGUCGGAUCUCUUCUGAGGCACAAGGCUGCACAUGUGGUGUAUUCAGGCUACUUCGAAUAAGGUGAUCACAAGUAAAGAAUUGGAGAAGAAAUCAAAUUCAUCUUAGGUCUGCUAAGUCGGAUCUCUUCUGAGGCACAAGGCUGCACAUGUGGUGUAUUCAGGUAGUCCUCCUCUUUCCCAUUUGUAUCUUUCUCAUGUCUUCUUAUAUCUAAAUUGAUGAUGGUGCUGCUAAGUUCCUUUGUUUUUUUUUCUGUCUAAACACAGGCUAAUCCCAAAGGGAUUCUGAAGUCAAACGUGUCCUUUAUGUCAUUCAGGUAUCUUUAUUUUAUAUUUUUACCCUCUGUUUUGGUUGUGUAAUUGGUGUGUUUGUUCUUAUAUCUUGCAGGUAAUACAAAAGACUGGCUCGUCAUGUGAAAGUUAUUCAGGUAUUCCUUUCUUUUGUCCCUCCAAAUUAUGGUGCAAGUAGUUUGUUAAUGAAGUUUGUUCAAGUAGUUUUUUUGAAAAUUUCUUAGGUCUCCUGAGAUGGAGCUCCUCUGAGGAAGGCUGUACAUGUGGUUUAUUCAUGUGAAAGAUGUUCAGUAUUCGUUCCUUUUUCCAUCUUAUAGGUCUGGUUAGAUAUGUUUUCUAUUAUUCUAUUAAGCUAGAUAUAUCUUCUCUGUUUGUUGCAGUGCGUCGAGGCUGGAUCCUCUCGGCUAUCAUCUUUUUAGGCUUCUGAGGAUCUCAUCUCGUGCUCCAUAUUCUUUCUUACUUUCCCUAACUGGUUCUUUCCCGUUUAUCUCUGUUGGUUGUAAUUCUCAUCUUUUGGGUUUCUCUGCCUUGUGGUGGUUGUGCUUCCUAACAUGUUUGUUAUUAUACUUUGUCCUUCUAAGUAGUUUAUAUAUUCAAAAUAUUUUUAGGUCUCUUAGGUCUGUUAAGUCUGAGAUGAGAUCCUCUGAUCCAGAAGGCUAGACACGUGGUUUAUUCAGGUUUUCUUUCCUCUAUCCCGUUGGGAUGUGUCAGUCAUCUAUUUGUUUUUAUAAACUGUUUGAAUUUUGGGUUCCUCAGUUUUGGACCGUGCCACUAGGGAUUCUUCAACAAUAUUUGAACUUGUUAAUGGAUCAGUAAAGCUGUUGAUCUUUUACUAACUGGUAAUUUCUUCCCCUUUAUCUCUGUUGGUGUUUUCUUUCAUGCUACAUCUAUUUUUACUGUUCGAUCCUACUCUCACAUGCUUGUUGUUUGAUCCUACUCUCACAUGCUUGUUGUUUGAUCCUACUCUUACAUGCUUGUUGUUUGAUCCUACUCUCACAUGCUUGUGACGGUGGUUUUAUGUGAAGUGCUACCCUUUAUUAUAGGUAUAUAUUGAGGAUGCAUAGGAGGGUAGUUCUAUUCUGUCUCUGUUUAAGAUGUCUUUGAUCUCGUGGUUUCCUGUUACCUCUUUGGCUGUUUCUUAUCUUUGUUUGUUUUAUGUUUAGGGUGUUAAUUUCCCUAUUUACCUGAUGUUUGUCUUUUCUAAUUUUUUGAGAAAUUUUGAUUGAGAUUGUAUAGAACAGGCAUGCAUUUUUGGAGGGAAGGAUCGUUUGUGUAUAAUUUCGUCUUUGUGGUUACUAUCGUAUAUAUAUAUUGACUAUUGUUGGCGUGUAUAAUUUUUCCACUGUGUCUGUGUUUCCCAGAUUUUCUUCACCAAUUACUUAACUCUCAGUUUCCGUUUCUCUGCUGAGUACACAUACUCGGAUAAAAGAUGAUCAUAAAUUUCUCCUAAACAGGUUUUAACCUAGUCUUCCUUGUAACCUCCUUUGUAGUUUCUUCCCUUUUCCUGGGAGAUUUGCUUAGUUUUUUCUCCCCCUUCUCUUUUUGCUUUUCCUGAUUGUAUGAAUUCAUUUAUCUUUUUGGAUGAUGGAAGAAGAAGAGGUUCUGUUUCGACCUGCUUUCUUAGGUUUCCAUGUAUCUGUGCAUCGGAGUUUUUGUUAAUCAAGUCUACAUUGGAGCUUCCAUGAUUGGUUGAUUCAGGUUCCAUGAGCUACUUUUUUUCCUGUGGUUUGAUUAUUGGAUUUCUAUCAUUCUAUGCCGUGUGGUUGACUUUUUCUAUUUUGUGAAUAAUUCCUCACUGGUUGCCUUGGAUUGAUCUCAAUUGGUAUACGUUUCCUUUUUAGUAUUAUAUCUGCUAUCUAUGUUUUAUUGUGUUUUCCAGAAUUUUUUUUAUCAAUCACUUUACUCCAAUCCUUGCAGUUUAGUUAGUCUACUCGUAGUCAGAUGAAAGAUGAUCAUAAAUCCCUUUUUAAUGGUUUUGUAAUUAUAUACUUCUUUAAUUCUUUUCAUGAUGAUUAUGUCUACCAAAGUGGUAUUUGUAUUGAAUAUCUUCAAGUCUUUUAGGACUCUUCAAGGCUGAACUCCUCCUAUGCAGAAAGCUGCCUGGUUGCCUGGAUUUCCCACAAUCUGUUGAUUCAUCCUGUUCUGGGUUUUGAAGUGUGUUUCACUUAUUGAGCUUUGGACGGAGAAAGUGGAGAGUUUCACAAGAUUGGUUCUUGUCAUUGGUUGUUUCCCGUCAACAAUAAUGUUUCUCAUCUUCUUAGAUAUGCACGCAUUUCUGCUUAGGCCUGACCUUUUACUAAGCCUUUAUCAUAGUUAUUUCAGGCUACUACUUUGUCUCUUCUUAUUUAUCCAUUUUUCUGUGCUACAUCUAUUCCUAGUUGUUUUCUUUCUAAUCCUUAUUAUAUAUGCUUGUGAUUGUAGAUUCUCUUUAUAUGAAUUACUUCAUUUAUAUAGAUUCUUAUGGUGUUUUUUGUCUUUUCUGUUUUUGUUAUGUGAUCAAUUCUCCUUGCCCUUAUUUGUUUAUGCCUUUCUGAUUUUGUAGUCUGCAUAUCAUUUCUGCUGGAGAUGAAGUCAGUAGUUUUAGGAGUUUGGAUGUUACAAAGUGGAAGUUCUAAUUCGGCCUGCUUUCCUACACUCCCCUGUAUCUGUACAUCAUGAGUUUGUAAGGUUGCUUUUUCUGUGUUUGUUAUUUCUAGUGUAGAUUGCCGAGGAAGCAAAAACUGAAAGUUUCAAGCUUUUGCGUGGUUGUCUCAAUAGGGAUGAAUUUGAAGCUUUCAUCUCUGGUGGAUUCAGUGUUAUGAGCUACUUAUCUUAUGGGGUUUGAUUUUUAGGUUUCUUUGGCUUGUGAUUGUUGUGUCUUUGUUGAUUUUUGAAUUACUUCAGACUGUUAUAGUUUAUCAACGAAAAGUGAGCUUCCACCUCCAGAGGGUUGCCUCACGUCUCAAUUGACCGUUUCCCAUACUCCCUUCCUUCUUUAUGAUUUUACGAGACUAUGUUUUUUUCUUUCUUAGAUCUGAUGCUUUGUUGCAUUGUCUUAUUCUGCUCACUGAGGGUAAAUAUAUAUGUGCUAUAGAUUCCGAAUUAUGGGCUGGUCCAUAUCUCCAGCCAGACAAGGUAAAGUUGAAUGUUCUUUUGAGUUUUGUAUAAAACGUUUUUGUUUUUGUCACCUUUCUAUUUAAUGGUCUUGGGGGUUUAGUUGGCUAGAGUGGUUAAAGCUCUGUAGAUGACACUUCUCUGAAGGUGGGUUACCUUACUUUUUCAACUAAUUUUGAAGACUGUUUUCUGUACCUUUGAUGAUGAUUCUCAGUUUUGCAGCAAUGUUUGGUUAAUGACUGAUAUUUUUGAAGAUUCUCAGUUCUUUUUGUUGUACGCUACGUGGAUUUCAAGGUUUAACUGCUAUAGUCUAUCACGAUGAGAUCUGUAGUCUUUUUUUUUUGUUGGUUCUUCCACACUAGUUGGUAGCAACGGUCGUGGUGUAUGUGUGUUAGCGUUGUUGAUGGUAAGCGCGGCAUCAGAUUUCUUGCCAUUAAGAGAAUUUGGUUGGAAUGAAUGUUGUGAUUCUGGAGAAUGUAGGGUGUGCUAGUACAUGUACAUAUAUUAAGGGGUUUUCUGUAGACAUUUUGUUAUGAAUUACAGGCGAGGCAGAGGCUUAAUGUUAUGGAUUCUUCUUACGAAUGUUCCCAGGUCAUGGCUUGCUUUAAAUUACUGAAGGUCGUUUUCUAUGCGAGAAUGGCGGCAGAGGGACCUAUUGGUGUGGCACAAAUGAAGUUUUUACUCUAAUUUAUUUUGGUUACAUAACUUUUUGAGUGGCCAAAUAAUAUUCUAAUGGCUGCCCAACAAAAAUAAAUAUUGCUGCAAAACAAUAUAUUCAAACUUCUGAUACUUGACAUUUAAAAUACAUUGUUUCCACCACAAACGUUAGUCGAAUUCUUUGGGUACGUAUGCAAGUCCUUAUGCAUCAAUCGUUAUGUUCUCAACCACGUACGAAAUUAAACAUCAUGAAAAUCAUGUUCGCUGUGGGAUGAAACAGAGUAUGCAAUAGAACACGAAUCAAGAGUUGAGAGACAAGAGUUUUAACGACUUCAAGUCUCGCACCUACGUCUCAGCUUCGACGGCACAAGCAAUCCACUAGAAAUUCUUAAAGAGUUGCAUCACUCGCAUAAGAAACUAUAUAUAGAGACCAAUCCAAGAUUUGAACUUAUCUUUAAUCUCUAUCUUACAACUUAGUAACCCAGAUGCUAACUUGUCUUAAUAACAAACUCUUCGUAUCACUCUUACGGAUACGGUAAGCUGGUUACACGAAUUCAGCCAACCAAAUUAAACUCAA